GACCGCAGUUAGCUAACCGCUGUCGCCGACACCCUGCAUGCCAGAUAAAUUAAUUUUAUGAUCCAAUGUAUUUAUUGAAUUUGAAAGCACUUGCCAAGAAUGUUUUCAUUAAUCAAGUACGAAAGUUAGAGGGUCGAACACGAUCAGAUACCGUCCUAGUUCUAACCAUAAACGAUACCGACUAGGGAU